GGUGAGAUGGCUGAGCGUAUAGGACACCAGACUAAGGUCUGGCUGUAUCAUCGUGCCUGAAAUAUGGUCUCAUUGGGGGCGGGAGUUCGAAUAUCCCUCUCAUCA